rnacentral:rRNA from 1 species
UACGAAGGGGGCAAGCGUUGUUCGGAAUUACUGGGCGUAAAGCGUGCGCAGGCGGUUUUGUAAGCCAGAUGUGAAAUCCCCGGGCUCAACCUGGGAACUGCAUUUGGGACUGCAAGGCUGGAGUACGGCAGAGGGAGGUGGAAUUCCAGGUGUAGCAGUGAAAUGCGUAGAGAUCUGGAGGAACACCGAUGGCGAAGGCAGCCUCCUGGGCUAGUACUGACGCUCAUGCACGAAAGCGUGGGGAGCAAACAGG